rnacentral:miRNA from 1 species
GGACUGUGAGGUGACUCUUGGU